GGACAGCAGGGAGCAGGCAGUUGGGUUAACCAAUGAAGCCUCGUUCACCAGAAGAUGUGCCCUGCUGAUGAUAUUUACAGAAGUUACUUUCUGCAGGGUUAACCAAUGAAGCCUCGUUCACCAGAAGAUGUGCCCUGCUGAUGAUAUUUACAGAAGUUACUUUCUGCAGGGUUAACCAAUGAAGGUUCGUACACCAGAAAAUGUGCCCUGCUGAUGAUAUUUAAAGAAGUUACUUUCUGCAGGGUUAACCAGUGAAGGCUCGUACACCAGAAAAUGUGGCCUGCUGAUGAUAUUUAAAGAAACGGGCUGGGCGCAGUGGCUCACGCCUGUAAUCCCAGCACUUUGGGAGGCCGAGGUGGGCCAAUCACCUGAGGUCGGGAGUUUGAGACCAGCCUGGCCAACAUGGAGAAACCCCAUCUCUACUAAAAAUACAAAAUUAGCUGGGCGUGGUGGUGCAUACCUGUAAUCCCAGCUACUCGGGAGGCGGAGGCAGGAGAAUGCUUGAACCUGGAAGGCUGAGGUUGCAGUGACCCAAGAUGGCGCCAUUGCACUCCAGCCUGGGCAACAAAAGCAAAAUUCCGUCUCAAAAAACAAAAAAAAAGUCUGCUGCAGGAUUGCAGGGGGCAUCACAAGUGGUACAUUAGUUUUUUUUUAUGAUUUCAUAGACAAAAAUUAUUUUUUGAAAUCUGACAAUACCAACUGCUAACCAGGAUAUAGAGAAACAAGAACUUGACAAAUGGGAUCUAGUUAAACUAAAGAGCUUCUGCACAGCAAAAGAAACUACCGUCAGAGUGAACAGGCAACCUACAGAAUGGGAGAAAAAUUUUACAAUCUACCUGUGCGGUGGCUCAUACUUGUAAUCCCAGUACAUUGGGAAGCCAAAGCAACGACCAGCCUGACAAAGGGCUGAUAUCCAGAAUCUACAAAGAACUUAAACAGAUUUACAAGAAAAAAACCCCAUCAAAAAGUGGGCGAAGGACAUGAACAGACACUUCUCACAGUAAGACAUUUAUGCAGCCAACAGACACAUGAAAAAAUGCUCAUCAUCACUGGCCAUCAGAGAAAUGCA
rnacentral:lncRNA from 10 species